GUUCCCGUAGCCUAAUCGGAUAAGGCACCCGCCUCCGGAGUGGGAGAGUGCAGGUUCGAGCCCUGCCGGGAACGCCA
rnacentral:tRNA from 1 species